AUUUUAAGUGAAAUCGAGUAAGGCGGGACACGUGAUAUCCUGUUUGAACAUGGGGGGACCAUCCUCCAAGGCUAAAUACUACUGACUGACCGAUAGUGAACCAGUACCGUGAGGGAAAGGCGAAAAGAACCCCUGUGAGGGGAGUGAAAUAGAACCUGAAACCGUGUACGUACAAGCAGUAGGAGCCUCUUCGUGGGGUGACUGCGUACCUUUUGUAUAAUGGGUCAGCGACUUAAUUUUAGUAGCAAGGUUAACCGUAUAGGGGAGCCGUAGGGAAACCGAGUCUUAACUGGGCGUCGAGUUGCUAGGAUUAGACCCGAAACCAGGUGAUCUAGCCAUGGGCAGGUUGAAGGUUGAGUAACAUCAACUGGAGGACCGAACCGACUAAUGUUGAAAAAUUAGCGGAUGACUUGUGGCUAGGGGUGAAAGGCCAAUCAAACCUGGAGAUAGCUGGUUCUCCCCGAAAGCUAUUUAGGUAGCGCCUCGGACGAAUACCAAUGGGGGUAGAGCACUGUUAAGGCUAGGGGGUCAUCCCGACUUACCAACCCUUUGCAAACUCCGAAUACCAUUGAGUACUAUCCGGGAGACACACGGCGGGUGCUAACGUCCGUCGUGGAGAGGGAAACAACCCAGACCGCCAGCUAAGGUCCCAAAGUAUAGCUAAGUGGGAAACGAUGUGGGAAGGCUCAGACAGCCAGGAUGUUGGCUUAGAAGCAGCCAUCAUUUAAAGAAAGCGUAAUAGCUCACUGGUCGAGUCGGCCUGCGCGGAAGAUGUAACGGGGCUAAGCUAUACACCGAAGCUGCGGCUACGUACUUUU
rnacentral:rRNA from 2 species